GACGAACGCUGGCGGCGUGCUUAACACAUGCAAGUCGAGCGGUAAGGCCCUUUCGGGGGUACACGAGCGGCGAACGGGUGAGUAACACGUGGGUGACCUGCCUUUAGCUCUGGGAUAAGCCUGGGAAACUGGGUCUAAUACCGGAUAUGACUCCGCGGUGCAUGCUGUGGGGUGGAAAGCCUUGUGCGGCUGGAGAUGGGCCCGCGGCCUAUCAGCUUGUUGGUGGGGUGAUGGCCUACCAAGGCGACGACGGGUAGCCGGCCUGAGAGGGCGACCGGCCACACUGGGACUGAGACACGGCCCAGACUCCUACGGGAGGCAGCAGUGGGGAAUCUUGCGCAAUGGGCGAAAGCCUGACGCAGCGAC
rnacentral:rRNA from 1 species